GUGUACUCAAAGAGUUGUCCACAUGCCAGCAGCACUGGCCCUUCCAGGAGCUGUUAGAAAUGUAGAACCUCAGAGCCUACAUUGAAGAUAUUGAAUCGGAGUCUGCACAUCGCUUCUGAGAAGCCAUGAGCUAAGCUGAUGCCAUUCAGCUGGGUAGCAUCGCAGUCACUGUGCAACUUUUAAACAUACAGCUGCCCAGGCCCACUGCAGACCUGCUAAAUUCAAGCUCCUUGUAGUGGGGCCAGGGCCCUGGGACUUCAUACAAAACUCUGCAAGUCAUCACUGAUGAGAAAACCAAGACUCGAUGAGGUCUCAGCAGACCAAAGCAAGUUAUUUUCUGAUGAAAGGAUUUCAUCGGACCUUGAUGCUCACUUGGAUUUUUAAGUGGAAAAAGGUCACUGUGUCUCUGUGCAGUUGCAUCAUGCAAUUCUAAUGAGAGAGGCUUCUCAGUCACUCCAAAUGUGACCGCGUGUGCAGAUCCUCAUGUUCUCAGACACCAGCCCCUUCUCCCAGACUGGCUUGCUCCAAACUGCAAUCCUCUGAGGCCCAUGAUCAGUGUCCUGGUCUGAGGCACAUGGAGUGUGUCACCCAGAAUUUUUGGAAUGGAAAUGCACUGAUCCUCACAAGAGGCAAUCACCAUUACACCAAGGGAGCUUCUAUGGCUUUCUGUUUGAUCGCAGUUCUACUCCAGGAGGCUGCCACUCUGUUAUGCCCAGGAUAGGUUCAUGAAGUGGAUUCCUGAAAUGCUGCGAUUCACAGAGGGUUUCCUCUCGCGUGUGACUGAAUUUAUCAACAUGUUUAAUAAAGCUACGUGAUCUCCCGCAGGCGUUGGCUGCAUAGCAUCGCGUGUCCACCAGAGCUGCCUCCCUCCCUGAGUCAACGCAUCCCUGAAGAUACACAGCUUAUGUCAGCAGCACAGACCUGCAUCCCCCAUGGUGACUCAAUUUACAUUCCAUACCCUUGCCCCUGCAUGGGGGUCUUCUUGGAAACUCUGAGACAAGUUGGCUGUGUUAGGAGUCCCCUGAUCUCAAUCUUGCCCAGCCCUAUGUGAACUUAGGUCUCUGGAGACUAAGAAGCCCCAUGGGCAGAGGAGGAGGAGCAGCAAAGGCCCCAAGCAUGAAGUGAUUUGGGGGGAGGAGAGAGGAGUUUCCAGAGAGGGUGAGCACCCCAUCCCCACUGCGGCACUGUCCCUCUGCCAAUGCACACGAUACAGCGGGAGUCCUUCCUCCCGCCUGGCUGUGCAGAGUGGCCCUGGGACCUCUAGGUGGGCAGAGAGCGGGAGGUGCAGCAGAUGGAGACGGGCUCCUUAUACUCUCUCCUCACUGCUGGGGAGGAUAGAAGCAGGAGCCACGUGGCUUCAGAGCCUCCUGUUCCUCCCCUUCCCCAAAUUCCUAUCAACAGCUAACCAAAUCCCUGCAAACACCCGCUCUCCAAGCACCUGCUAAGAACCAGGGGUCCUUGGCAGAGGACUCCCCUCGCAGUGGGUGCUCAGAGCCCACUGAUCUUGCCCCUCCGCUGGCCCGGCUAUGGGAACUGGCAGGUGGCAGCGGAGCUGGAACUUAGGAAGGGCAGGAUGUCAGCUUGGAGCCAUGCCGGCUGUCACCAGAGGCCGCCCCUCCCACAGCUAAGCCUUCCCGGGUGUUGUGUCAUGAGCACACACAGUCCGGAGUCUCCGACACCACUUUGUUUCCCCUGCUCUAUCCAUGGGGCCACCUCUCACUUUCCCAAAAGAGAGGGCAGGGUGUCAAGCCGUCUCACAGAUGGCAGAGCAGAUGCCUGACCAUACUCUCGAGCAGCUUCAGAGAAGUAUUUAUGCCCUGAAGUGGUUUCUUCAGGUGACCAGAUGAAGGUGAGUUGCUGGACACCACCUACCCCAAGGCCCCUGUCCUCAGGGAGCUCAGGUCCGUGCCCCUCAGAGGUUCAUGCCCCUCAGAGCCAGCCAGCUCCCCCUUCCACCUAACCCUGACCAGCAGGAGACCUGUGGAAGUCAGGGGUCGGCCGUGCCCCCUUUCCUCAACCUUCCUGCCUCUCAGCCUUCCCAGGCUGCAGAAUUUCACCCCUCAGAGGCUUCCAGAGUCUGCCCACUCCUGUGAGGAACCACCGUCCUCCAUAAAUGAAAUGCAGCCCUUUCCCUGGGGAAGCAUGGGGGGCUUACUGAACCCGCUUCUGUGAGGCUGGGCUUGACUAGUGGGCAAAGCUGAGUGUGGCUGGGCCUGGCUGCUCCAGCGGGGCGGUCCCUGCUGCUCCCCGACCCAGAAGGUGGCCUGUGGCCAGAACGUGGUCUUAGAGCUCAGCCCUGACCAGCUUGUGAACUCAGCCCCGGUCGACCCAGGAGGAAGCACAGGUCUCUUGUCUCACUGAGUCUCAUCCCCUCAGCCACAGACCUUCCUCCCCAUCUCCUCCACCCGCAGAGGUAACCGAGGGCUGGGAUGGGGCUAGGAGGCCUCGUAUAACUGUGGGAACUGUGGCUGGAGGGUGUCAGAGAGAGAACGCGGAAUUCCAGUCUAGUGUGGAAGUGAGGUGAGAGAUGCAGAUUGCGGUUUUAAAAUCUAUAUAAAAUUACCAACUUGAAUAUUUCCUUAUGACUCCUGGAAUUCUACUUCUCGGCCCCUAAGUGUGGACAUCUGAUGCAGUUCUGGAAUGUAGAAGGGUUUUAUAAAGGUUUCAGGAAAUGUUCUUCUUUCCCUAUUACAAGAAACAAUUGACGUUUCUGCUCCUAUAUGCUUUUCUUUCUGCUUUAAAAGCAGAUAAAAUUUUCAGCUACAGCUUCAAGCUAGUGAAUAAAGCUGUGGAAAUCUGGUUUCAAUACAUAGAAUUCUACCUCUGCGAUGACUGCCUGGCGGUGGCUGUUACGUGAUUCCGGGGACGUAAGGCCUGUGAGAGUGAGGUCAGGGCUCUGCUGCACUGGGAAGCGUGGGGGCCGGCAGGUCAUGAUGAUGUUGGAAAAACUUCAUCUAGAUCACUUUCAGGAUAUCAUGCGAUACUCAGUGUGGUAGGAAGAGAUCAGUACAAUGCUUCUACUUGUACAGCAUAACCUAGGUAUGCAGAGGGCAAAAGACAGAAACCUGUGAUCAAGUCAGCACUAGAGCCUAGGAUCUAUUAACUCCCUAUGUACUGUGGUUUUCCUGGAGAAAGAAAUUAGUAAAUGAUAAAAUUGCAGCAGUCAGAUAUAAAAUACAGAGUUGUCUAUGAGUGAAUAGACAUUUAAGAAACAGCAUGCAUAGCUUCACAGAUAAUCCGGUGACGUAGAUUGAAAGUUUGUUUCCUUCCAAGAUUCCAAUGUGAAAAUCCCAACCUGGGAAGGAAUGAACAAACGCUGCUGAACCCAGGAGGCCCAGCAAGUGGGCAGUGCGCUCCAGUGGGCCUGGAAGGCAGAGCAUUGAGCCAAAGGAAAUCGGGUUCAACGCUCUUCAUUCCAGGGAGUUUGCCUUGUGGUUUGGACUUGCCUGAGAUCCAUCACUCCUUUCUUCUUUCCUAUUUCUGUCUCGGGAGAAAUGUCUGUCCUAUGCUUGCAGCACUACUCUACUCUGGAAGCACAUAACAUUUAGUUUCACAGAUUCCUGCCUAGAGAGAAAUUUGUUUCAAGAUGACUUUUACCUUGAGUCUUAGCCAUAUCUAAUUUAGAGGAUAUUUAUAUAAGACUUCCGAUUUGAGAUUUAGAGUUGACACUGAUGGGGUUGAGAUUUUGGGGCUACUGGGAUGUAAUUAGUGUAUUUUGCAUGUUAGAAGCACUCUAGGCCCGGAGCUGAAUGCUGCAGCCUGAUGGUUUAUGUCUCUUCAAGAUGCGUAUGUUGAACUCCUAACACCUAAGGUGAUGGUAUUAGAAGGUGGGGCCUUUGGGAGGUGAUUAGAUCAUAAAGGUGAGGCCUUCAUGAAUGGGAUCAGUGCCCUCCUAGAAGAGACCCCACAGAGCUCUCUCACCUUCCAUAUGGGGACACAGUGACAAGACGACUGCCUAUAAACCAGGAAGUAAGCCGUCACCAGACACUGAAUUCUCAGCACCUGGAUUUUGGACUUCUGGUCUUCAUAACUGAGAAAUGCAUUUCUGUUGUUUGUAAGACAGUCUAUGGUAUUCUGGUAUGGAAGCCUGAAUGGACUAACACAUUCAAUAACUCAAAGUGAUGUUUUAAGAACAGAAGAUCUUGCCAACUGAAGGCACAGGCUUCCUCCCUCCUUACCUUCCUCUCACCCACAUGGCUUCCCACCCCAUCCCUUCACCACUUUUGUCACACCAACGCCACCUUCCCCUUUACCUCUCCCCCAGCAUCAAGCCAACACUGCUGAUUGCUGCUGACCUUCUGCUAAUGCUAAAUUUAAAAUCAACUUUUUAUUUAGAAAGUUUAAAACUUAAAUUAUAGACUUGGACCUAGGUGGAAGAGAGAAAGAAAAAAAGAUUUCUAGACCCUGAGACAAACUCAUACAUCUGUCCAUAAAUCUGCUCAUUUCAUUUUAUGGAAACAAAGAAAUAUGCUUAGUGGGUAGAUUUAAAUACUCAGACACUUAAAGUAUAAGAUAGCAUGGCAACAACUAGUGGUGAGAAGAGUAGGGAGAGGUCCUGAUUCUGCAUUCCCCAAGAGCCUGAUCUGAUUACAAUCUUUUGUUGAAAUUACUCAAUUGUUAUUUUUAAGUAUUUGAUUUUCCCAGCUUUUUGUAAAAAUUAAAUAGACAGACAGACAUACAUACACUGUGAAGCUAAAGGCUAAGAUUCAGCUGAUUUUCCAAAGCUAAUCAUGAGAGUGGAUGUUGUUUAUGGAAGCUGAACAAUAUGACUUUCAUCACCAGGCAGUGGCCCCUGGGCAAAGACUCCAGGGUCUCUGGAUAAGAAGAAACUGAUAGGGAAAAAUGGCAGAAAUGCUGCAAUAAACAACCCUAAUGAAGAAGAAAUGUAAAUCCAUAUAUAACCAAGAAUGGUUAUUUCAGCUUCCUUCUCCUCCUUCUCCUUCUCCUCCUGCUCCUCCUCCUCCUAAGGAUUUUUUUUGUCCCUUUAUCAAUGCAUCAUUUUUCAACUCUGUCACUUCCGCAUAACACAGCCACCCUUUGCUGUUCUCAACUUUUCCUUUUUGUAUUUGUUUGACACUAACUUUUCCCACAGUCUGUAGAUUUCUUUUUGUCCUUUUCUAAUAGUUCAUGUUUUAGAAAUUCAGAACAAACAAUUUCUGAAUGCUCCUCAGAACACCCAUCUCAGGCAGAGAAUCUCACCGAAAUAGAGAAGAAGCUCAUGCUCCUGGAAGAAACAGCCUGAGGAGAGCCGCUGGGCCACAUCUGGCCACUGUCCACAGCGCUGUCAGAUCCAACGAGAGCCGCUGAGUCACAUCUGGCCACCGUCCGCAGCACUCACAUCUGGCCACCGUCCGCUGCGCUCACAUCUGGCCACCGUCCGCAGCGCUCACAUCUGGCCACCGUCCGCAGCGCUCACAUCUGGUCACCAUCCACAGAGCUCACAUCUGGCCACCGUCCGCUGCGCUCACAUCUGGUCACCAUCCACAGCGCUCACAUCUGGCCACCGUCCGCUGCGCUCACAUCUGGCCACCAUCCGCAGCGCUCACAUCUGGCCACCGUCCACAGAGCUCACAUCUGGCCACCGUCCGCAGCACUCACAUCUGGCCACCGUCCGCUGCGCUCACAUCUGGCCACCGUCCGCAGCGCUCACAUCUGGCCACCGUCUGCUGCACUCACAUCUGGCCACCGUCCGCAGAGCUCACAUCUGGCCACCAUCCGCAGAGCUCACAUCUGGCCACCGUCCGCAGCGCUCACAUCUGGCCACCGUCCACUGCGCUCACAUCUGGCCACCGUCCGCAGCGCUCACAUCUGGCCACCGUCCGCUGCGCUCACAUCUGGUCACCGUCCGCAGCGCUCACAUCUGGCCACCGUCCGCAGCGCUCACAUCUGGCCACCGUCCGCAGCGCUCACAUCUGGCCACCGUCCGCAGAGCUCACAUCUGGCCACCGUCCGCAGCGCUCACAUCUGGCCACCGUCCGCUGCGCUCACAUCUGGUCACCGUCCGCAGCGCUCACAUCUGGCCACCGUCCGCAGUGCUCACAUCUGGCCACCGUCCGCUGCGCUCACAUCUGGUCACCGUCCGCAGCGCUCACAUCUGGUCACCGUCCGCUGCGCUCACAUCUGGCCACUGUCCACAGAGCUCACAUCUGGCCACCGUCCCCAGCGCUGUCAGAUGCCGACCAAACCCUGCUUUGGUGUUGAGGUGGUUUGUCUAGUAGCCUCCUUUCUUAAGGGAAUUUAAUCUGCUGCAAAUGGUUCUCAUGUAUGCAAUAGAUGUUACUGUAACUGUUUUAUAAGGUGCAUUGCCUUCACCUUGCCAGGCUCUAUGCCAGUCUGUGUCUAGUCUGAUACCAUUCCUGCACACAUACAUCAAUGCCCCAGCAUUUGGAGGGCUGGAGUUAGGAAUAAUCCUGUUGGUGACUUAUUAUUAACUAUUGUAUGGGACUUAUUAUGUAUCUUCAUGUUCUACUGUUCCCACCUCCCAAACCCCAAAAAAGGAUGAGAUCUGUUUUAUAACAAAAACAUUUACGAUAAGGCCUAUACCAUAAAAUAAGUAAUAAAGUUAAUACCAACAAAAA